rnacentral:rRNA from 1 species
AUGCACGCUGGCGGCGUGCCUAAUACAUGCCAGUCGAGCGAACGGACGAGAAGCUUGCUUCUCUGAUGUUAGCGGCGGACGGGUGAGUAACACGUGGAUAACCUACCUAUAAGACUGGGAUAACUUCGGGAAACCGUAGCUAAUACCGGAUAAUAUUUUGAACCGCAUGGUUCAAAAGUGAAAGACGGUCUUGCUGUCACUUAUAGAUGGAUCCGCGCUGCAUUAGCUAGUUGGUAAGGUAACGGCUUACCAAGGCAACGAUGCAUAGCCGACCUGAGAGGGUGAUCGGCCACACUGGAACUGAGACACGGUCCAGACUCCUACGGUAGGCAGCAGUAGGGAAUCUUCCGCAAUGGGCGAAAGCCUGACGGAGCAACGCCGCGUGAGUGAUGAAGGUCUUCGGAUCGUAAAACUCUGUUAUUAGGGAAGAACAUAUGUGUAAGUAACUGUGCACAUCUUGACGGUACCUAAUCAGAAAGCCACGGCUAACUACGUG